GAAGGAGAGCAGGUGUCAAAGGGAGGAGGGAGUGUGUGUAUGAGUUUGUGUGUGUGUGAGAGAGAUGGAUUGAUUGAUUUAGGGAGAUAUUGGGAGUGUGUGUGUGUGUGUGUGUGUGUGUUUGUGUGUGUGAGAGAGAAAGAGUGAUUGAUUGAUUGAGGGAUAUAUUGGGAGUGUGUCUGUGUGUGUGAGCGAGAGUGGGGGAGAGAUUGUGUGUGUGUGACAGAGAAUAUUAUAGAGGCAAAGACUGGAUUGAGAUAUAGAUGUGAGGAGGAGGAGAGGAAGGUGAGGACAUCACUUCUUGUCCCAAGACCCACUGCAACCUUGCUAUAUCUCUGAAUGCAGAACUGGCCCAGCUGGACAAAAGAUGUACCAAUGAAGAAAGGAGAGAAAUGCACUGCAAGAUAGGUAACAGUAAAGACAAGAUGUCCAAAUUGUGCUUUCUCAACACUGUCACUGAGAGAUAUGUGGAGGCCUGUAGAAAGGGAGCAAGACUGCUGAAUUUCUCCAAAGGGUGAGUAUGCAGUUGAGGCCAUCUUGGUGAGUGAUUUGCAGCAGAAAAUAUCCAGGGGAAAACAGGGCAGCUGAGAGUGGGUGGAUUAUCUGGGGACUGGAUUGGGGACAAGUGCAAUUAAGGAGAGGACAUCCAGCCAUUGAAAUUAGAUACCAAGGACAGUUGAAAUGAUGCCCUGUGAAGUUUGUAGCAUUACCUGGUGAUCAAGUCAUCCAUCCUCCACCAGGCUUUUUAUCCCCAAAGCCAUUUGAAGCCAGGUCAUGAAGAGAGCCAGGAGCUUUUCAAGUUAUUUUUAAAUUUAGCUUUUAUCUUCUGUGGCAAAGACUCAUGCUGGGUCUGUGCUAUUCAGCAGGGAAAGCCUGGGAAGCCCACAGACAGUGUCAGGGAGACCCAGAAGCCUUCACAAGAAGAAGGGCAAAGGACAGGUUGAGAUCUUCUGGAGUGGCUGUAGCCUUUUUCGCUCCCUGAGGAUGGGCAAGGAACCCAUCAGAUGACCAGGAACCAUUCACUUGGACUCCAUUUCCUUUACAGAUUGUCUGUAAAGCUGUAGUAGAAGCAUUUACAAUGCUGAGGCUGCUGAUUGGGGGAAAACCCCACUGUUGGGCAUUUAAUCCACAUGCUACCUAAUGGCACAGUGGGGAAAUGACUUGAUUAGCAAGCCAGAGGUUGCUGGUUCAAAUCCCCACUGGUAUAUUCCCCAGACUAUGGGAAACACCUAUAUUGGGCAGCAGUGAUAUAGGAAGAUGCUGAAAGGCAUCAUCUCAUACUGCACAGGAGAUGGCAAUGGUAAAUCCCUCCUGUAUUCUACCAAAAACAACCAUGGGGCUCUGUGGUCACCCAGAGUCAACACCAACUCAACAGCACACUUUAUUUUUUGUGGAAGAGAGGAUACUAUGUUUCAUUGAAGAAGAGCCUGCCAGGGAGAGAUGACUAUCCAGCCCACCUUGGGUUAGCAGACCCAUGCAGUCUGUGCUUCAGGGCAAGCAAAUGGAACAGGCUGCAGCACCAUCUCACUGGGGAACAUUCACAUGUGCAACUUCCUGCCUGCAUCCUGAGGCACUGCUUCUCUUAACUGCCAGGGAAGAUAAUUCCAGGUGCCACCCAUGAAGUGGCCCUUACUCCAUCACCACCUGCCUUGCAUCACCCAGUGGGGGUGCUCAGAGGAAGGCCUCAGAUGAAGAUCUUCAAUUUGGUAAGGUUCACAGAGGAGGAGACCACCCAUAGAAAUCUUUGAGACCAUGGCCACUAUAGAUAUUUCUAUAGUGAAAGCUUGCUUCUACCUCAGCACCUUGUUGGGGGCCAGCGUUGUGCCUGGCCUUGUGGCAAGCAGGAUGUACUGGACACCAUCCACAGGGCAUGUAAUACUGCAUGGGUAAUCAAAUGUGGGUGGGGUUUGCUGUCUUUUACGGCCACCACCUUCCACAGCCACAGCAGUUAAGCGUUUGACACCCACCUGCCCACCCUGUCUCAGUGAGGGAUUAGCUGGUUGCCUUUCAGGGGCUGAGUAGGAAUUUUUUGUUCUCACCUAAUUGGCUGUUGGUGGGAAUUUUUUCGCCUACUUCUCACUGAUCAUGUUAUGGGCUUAUAUCUGUUAGAGGUGGUGGUCAAUAAAUAGUGUCACCCUGGUCACCCUGAGUGUGAGUAUUGGAGGAGUAGUUCCUUGCGAACUGAGCAAAGAGGCACCUUUUAAACAUGGUGAUUCUCUUUAUUUAGCAGGGGGAGAGUAACUGGCCCUAUCCACCCCCAGCACAGUACCUCCAGUGACUGUUGCUGGUGUCUAUCUUGUGUUUCUUUUAGAUUGUGAGUCCUUUGGGGUCAGGACUCACAAACUUAUUUAUUUAUUAUUUCUCUAUGUAAACUGCUUUGUAAACUUUUGUUGAAAAGCAGUAUAGAAAUAUUUGUUGUUGUUGAAGGAAGGAAGUGCCACAAGACUGUAUGGUAGUCAUCAUGACCAGAUGACUACUAGUAGUCUCCGAUCCCAGUUUAUUUAUUCAGCAAUGGCUAGGUACUUGCCAACUUGAGGCUGCCUCCCAUGGGUGGUGGUGGUGGUGUUCAUCUAUUAAUUAUUUAUUUAGCAUAUUUGUAUACCUCACACUACUGAAGUCUCUAGGCAGUUUACAACAUUAAAACCAAGAAAUUUUAAAACAUGUUAAAAGUUCAAAUUAAAAUAACUGCCCAUGAAAACUACUAAAUAUAUAAAAAGCUGGUAUGGAAUUGUACACACUCUAGUUAGUUGAGUUAUGUUAUUAUGCCAUGCAGAUAAUUGUAGGUAGUUAAUAAAGUAUGUCCCAAGUUCCAAUCUA